CCAGUACCGUUCGGAAUAGGGCGGUACCUUGACGGUACCUAACCAGAAAGCCACGGCUACUACGUGGCCAGCAGCGCGGUAAUACGUAGGUGGCAAGCGUGUCCGGAAUUAUUGGGCGUAAAGCGCGCGCAGGCGGUUCUUAAGUCUGAUGUGAAAGCCCCCGGCUCAACCGGGGAGGGUCAUUGGAAACUGGGGAACUUGAGUGCAGAAGAGGAGAGUGGAAUUCCACGUGUAGCGGUGAAAUGCGUAGAGAUGUGGAGGAACACCAGUGGCGAAGGCGACUCUCUGGUCUGUAACUGACGCUGAGGCGCGAAAGCGUGGGGAGCGAACAGGAUUAGAUACCCUGGUAGUCCACGCCGUAAACGAUGAGUGCUAAGUGUUAGAGGGUUUCCGCCCUUUAGUGCUGCAGCAAACGCAUUAAGCACUCCGCCUGGGGAGUACGGUCGCAAGACUGAAACUCAAAGGAAUUGACGGGGGCCCGCACAAGCGGUGGAGCAUGUGGUUUAAUUCGAAGCAACGCGAAGAACCUUACCAGGUCUUGACAUCCUCUGACAACCCUAGAGAUAGGGCUUCCCCUUCGGGGGCAGAGUGACAGGUGGUGCAUGGUUGUCGUCAGCUCGUGUCGUGAGAUGUUGGGUUAAGUCCCGCAACGAGCGCAACCCUUGAUCUUAGUUGCCAGCAUUCAGUUGGGCACUCUAAGGUGACUGCCGGUGACAAACCGGAGGAAGGUGGGGAUGACGUCAAAUCAUCAUGCCCCUUAUGACCUGGGCUACACACGUGCUACAAUGGGCAGAACAAAGGGCAGCGAAGCCGCGAGGCUAAGCCAAUCCCACAAAUCUGUUCUCAGUUCGGAUCGCAGUCUGCAACUCGACUGCGUGAAGCUGGAAUCGCUAGUAAUCGCGAUCAGCUGCCA
rnacentral:rRNA from 1 species